AUUGAACGCUGGCGAAAUGCUUUACACAUGCAAGUCGAACGGCAGCACGGGGGCAACCCUGGUGGCGAGUGGCGAACGGGUGAGUAAUACAUCGGAACGUGCCCAGUCGUGGGGGAUAACGUAGCGAAAGCUACGCUAAUACCGCAUACGAUCUAUGGAUGAAAGCGGGGGACCGUAAGGCCUCGCGCGAUUGGAGCGUCCGAUGGCAGAUUAGGUAGUUGGUGGGGUAAAGGCUCACCAAGCCUGCGAUCUGUAGCUGGUCUGAGAGGACGACCAGCCACACUGGGACUGAGACACGGCCCAGACUCCUACGGGAGGCAGCAGUGGGGAAUUUUGGACAAUGGGCGCAAGCCUGAUCCAGCCAUUCCGCGUGCAGGAUGAAGGCCUUCGGGUUGUAAACUGCUUUUGUACGGAACGAAAAGGCUCUUUCUAAUACAGAGGGCUCAUGACGGUACCGUAAGAAUAAGCACCGGCUAACUACGUGCCAGCAGCCGCGGUAAUAC
rnacentral:rRNA from 1 species